rnacentral:rRNA from 1 species
GACGAACGCUGGCGGCGUGCCUAAUACAUGCAAGUCGAGCGAAGUUUUUCUGGUGCUUGCACCGGAAAAACUUAGCGGCGAACGGGUGAGUAACACGUAAAGAACCUGCCUCAUAGACUGGGACAACUAUUGGAAACGAUAGCUAAUACCGGAUAACAGCAUUAACUGCAUGGUUGAUGUUUAAAAGUUGGUUUUGCUAACACUAUGAGAUGGCUUUGCGGUGCAUUAGCUAGUUGGUGGGGUAAAGGCCUACCAAGGCGACGAUGCAUAGCCGACCUGAGAGGGUGAUCGGCCACACUGGGACUGAGUCACGGCCCAGACUCCUACGGGAGGCAGCAGUAGGGAAUCUUCCGCAAUGGGCGAAAGCCUGACGGAGCAACGCCGCGUGAGUGAAGAAGGAUUUCGGUUCGUAAAGCUCUGUUGUUAGGGAAGAAUGAUUGUGUAGUAACUAUACACAGUAGAGACGGUACCUAACCAGAAAGCCACGGCUAACUACGUG